rnacentral:rRNA from 1 species
UUGGUGAAGAAGGAUAGAGGUAGUAACUGGCCUUUAUUUGACGGUAAUCAACCAGAAAGUCACGGCUAACUACGUGCCAGCAGCCGCGGUAAUACGUAGGUGGCAAGCGUUGUCCGGAUUUAUUGGGCGUAAAGCGAGCGCAGGCGGAAGAAUAAGUCUGAUGUGAAAGCCCUCGGCUUAACCGAGGAACUGCAUCGGAAACUGUUUUUCUUGAGUGCAGAAGAGGAGAGUGGAACUCCAUGUGUAGCGGUGGAAUGCGUAGAUAUAUGGAAGAACACCAGUGGCGAAGGCGACUCUCUGGUCUGCAACUGACGCUGAGGCUCGAAAGCAUGGGUAGCGAACAGGAUUAGAUACCCUGGUAGUCCAUGCCGUAAACGAUGAGUGCUAAGUGUUGGGAGGUUUCCGCCUCUCAGUGCUGCAGCUAACGCAUUAAGCACUCCGCCUGGGGAGUACGACCGCAAGGUUGAAACUCAAAGGAAUUGACGGGGGCCCGCACAAGCGGUGGAGCAUGUGGUUUAAUUCGAAGCAACGCGAAGAACCUUACCAGGUCUUGACAUCUAGUGCCAUCCUAAGAGAUUAGGAGUUCCCUUCGGGGACGCUAAGACAGGUGGUGCAUGGCUGUCGUCAGCUCGUGUCGUGAGAUGUUGGGUUAAGUCCCGCAACGAGCGCAACCCUUGUUAUUAGUUGCCAGCAUUAAGUUGGGCACUCUAAUGAGACUGCCGGUGACAAACCGGAGGAAGGUGGGGAUGACGUCAAGUCAUCAUGCCCCUUAUGACCUGGGCUACACACGUGCUACAAUGGACAGUACAACGAGAAGCGAGCCUGCGAAGGCAAGCGAAUCUCUGAAAGCUGUUCUCAGUUCGGACUGCAGUCUGCAACUCGACUGCACGAAGCUGGAAUCGCUAGUAAUCGCGGAUCAGAACGCCGCGGUGAAUACGUUCCCGGGCCUUGUACACACCGCCCGUCACAC